ensembl:lncRNA
GUCUCGUUCUUUUUUUGUUGUUAUUUUUAAGGUGGGUGCAUGCAUUAGGCAAUUCAGGCUAAAUCUGAAAGUGAAACCCUUACAUAUUUCUAAUAAAAAGUCUUAUGUGUUUGUUUUACAUUAAAGUAUAAGAAGCAAUCUUCGAAUGUCCAUACCUGCCCGGUCUUUAAAUGCAAUCUUGUAAACGUUAUCACGAACUUGGUUUAUAGAGCUGCAGUCUCCACCACCAGACUUCCGACGAACCUUAAAGUACUUUUCUGUCUUUUCUUUUUGUACUGGAUCAAAAUUGUCCAGCUCGAAGAACACUGGGUGAUCUUUUAUAGAUAAUGACUGACAUGAAGGAGAGGCAGCUACAAUCCUCUGAGCGACGGUCCAUCACGGUCACAUGGACGUCCUCGCUAGGGGGAGCCCUCGAGUGGAUGUUGAGCAGGACGGACGGCGAUGAGUGAUGUUGAAAGCGGGUGGAGGGUACCAUUAGGACGCGCACUGCAACCUGUUGCUCACUCGAGAAGUCUGCAUUUCCAAUUUUGAAAAGUCCUAAGAUUUGUCACAUAUUAUGUUUAAUUAAAUAUAAAAACGAACAAAAAUAAAACCCCA